rnacentral:rRNA from 1 species
UACGUAGGGUGCGAGCGUUAAUCGGAAUUACUGGGCGUAAAGCGUGCGCAGGCGGUUGUGCAAGACAGAUGUUAAAUCCCCGGGCUCAACCUGGGAACUGCAUUUGUGACUGCACGGCUGGAGUGCGGCAGAGGGGGAUGGAAUUCCGCGUGUAGCAGUGAAAUGCGUAGAUAUGCGGAGGAACACCGAUGGCGAAGGCAAUCCCCUGGGCCUGCACUGACGCUCAUGCACGAAAGCGUGGGGAGCAAACAGG